rnacentral:rRNA from 1 species
CUACGGGUUGCUGCAGCGGGGAAUAUUGCACAAUGGAGGAAACUCUGAUGCAGCAACGCCGCGUGGAGGAUGACACUUUUCGGAGCGUAAACUCCUUUUAUAUAGGAAGAAGAUGACGGUACUAUAUGAAUAAGCGCCGGCUAACUCUGUGCCAGCAGCCGCGGUAAUACGGAGGGCGCAAGCGUUACUCGGAAUCACUGGGCGUAAAGAGCGUGUAGGCGGAUUAAAAAGUCAGAAGUGAAAUCCUAUAGCUUAACUAUAGAACUGCUUCUGAAACUCUUAAUCUAGAAUAUGGGAGAGGUAGAUGGAAUUUCUGGUGUAGGGGUAAAAUCCGUAGAGAUCAGAAGGAAUACCGAUUGCGAAGGCGAUCUACUAGAACAUUAUUGACGCUGAGACGCGAAAGCGUGGGGAGCAAACAGGAUUAGAUACCCCAGUAGUC